UCGUCAUUCCCGUGGUUGUCUCACAUGGAAGGUUUGGCUUAGGUUUCAUUUUGUUUUCUUUCUUCCUUCCAUUCUCACUCAUUUGAUCAUCAAAAAGCUUUAUGCUACACAUGAAACUCAUAGGAAAAGGUCCAAUGAAUCCAUUCCCACCAUUAGUUUGAACUAUCAUUGUUUGUGUGAGGAGAUAUUCUCUUCCCCCUUUGCGUGGCACUAUUCAUCAAGAAGGCAAAAUGGAGCUUUUGAUGGAGAUUCUCUUGGUGAAUGUCUUCUAGGUUUUGGAUAGGUGAUUAGAGGUGUGCCUAGGGAUUGAGAAGGAUCGGAAAUCUCUUGAAGCGAUAAAAGUAACUUGUUCCACAAGUAAGCGUAUUGGUAAAGCUUCAAGAGGUGCUCAGAUUCCCGGUGAGUCCUCACUAGGCAGGGACACGACACGUGGCUGAGGCAGUUGACAGAUUGGAUUUUGAGUGGCUGUAGGCUACUACCUUUUUGGAGUGUUUGAUGUAUUUUAGUAUUUUCGCAUUUGAUGGAUCAUGAUAUUGAUCCUUUAUUGUGUAUAUGGCCUGUAUAUGUUUUGUACAUGUCUGUCGCUUUGAUGCAUGUACAUUUGGGUAUUCAGGCACGUUAUAUG